GGUCUGAACUCAGAUCACGUAAGAAAUUAAAAGUCGAACAGACUUAAUAAUUAAGCUACUGCACCUAAUAUUAUAUCUUAAUCCAACAUCGAGGUCGCAAUCUUUAUUAUCAAUAAGAACUUUUCAAAAAAAUUACGCUGUUAUCCCUAAAGUAACUUAAUUUAAUAAUCCAUAAUAAAGGAUCAAAAACUCAUAAAUCAAUGUAAUUAAAAUUAAAAGUUAUUUAAAUUUUAAUAUCUCCCCAAUAAAAUAUAAAUUUUAAUUAUAAUAUAAUAUAUCUAAAUUAUUAAAACUAAAUUCUAUAUAAAGAUUUAUAGGGUCUUCUCGUCUUUCAAAUCAAUUUUAGCUUUUUAACUAAAAAAUAAAAUUCUAUUAUAAAUUUAAUUGAAACAGUUAAUAUUUUAUCCAACCAUUCAUUCCAGCCUUCAAUUAAAAGACUAAUUAUUAUGCUACCUUUGCACAGUUAAUAUACUGCGGCCAUUCAAAAAUUCAGUGGGCAGGCUAGACUUUAAACUUAUUUCUAAAAGACAUGUUUUUGUAA
rnacentral:rRNA from 1 species